rnacentral:rRNA from 1 species
CGGGGUGCAGCAGGCGCGAAAACUGCACAAUGUGGGAAACCACAAUGCGGGAAACCCAAGUGCCAGCACUAUGUGUUGGCUGUCCUCCAGUGUUCGUAACUGGGGAAGAAAGAGCUGGGUAAGACGGGUGCCAGCCGCCGCGGUAAUACCCGCAGCUCAAGUGGUGGUCAUUAUUAUUGGGCCUAAAGCGUCCGUAGCUGGUUUGUUAAAUGCCUGGGUAAAUCGAUGCGCUCAACGCAUCGAAUUCCGGGUAGACUGGCAAACUCGAGACCGGGAGAGGUGUAGGCUACUCGAGGGGUAGGGGUAAAAUCCUGUAAUCCUUCGGGGAGGACCAGUGGCGAAGGCGCUACACUAGAACGGCUCUGACAGUGAGGGACGAAGCCCUGGGGCGCAAACCGGAUUAGAUACCCGGGUAGUCCAGGGUGUAAACGCUGCAGACUUGGUGUCGCUGAUCCUACGAGGGUUGGCGGUGCCGUAGAGAAGUUGUUUAGUCUGCCGCCUGGGGAGUACGGUCGCAAGACUGAAACUUAAAGGAAUUGGCGGGGGAGCA